rfam:Schistosoma rodhaini strain Burundi genome assembly, scaffold: SROB_scaffold0009115
GCACUGCUGAGGAGUCCCAUAAUAGGAAGAAACAGCCGUCCAGUGC